AGUUCCUGUUUCAUAAUUGACCUUUGCCACCAUCAACUUAUAGAAAAUAGGGUUUCAAGAAGUCAGAUGGAGUGGCCUGCUUUCAACACCCAGAGCUAGUGAUGCAGGACCAGGUCAGCUCCUACCAAGGAUUCCUGCUCACACUGGGACACGUAAGUAAGGGUCAUGAAAGAAUGCUGGUUGUGGUCCAUGAACUCACAGAAAUUAUAAACCAUCUUUGAGGAAAGAAUCAGUCCACCUGAAGAGUGUGUUAAAGGGAAAA